rnacentral:rRNA from 1 species
UACGUAGGGGGCAAGCGUUUGUCCGGAUUUAUUGGGCGUAAAGAGCGUGUAGGCGGCCAUACAGGUCAGCUGUGAAAACUCGAGGCUCAACCUCGAGACGUCGGUUGAAACCGUAUGGCUAGAGUCCGGAAGAGGAGAGUGGAAUUCCCGGUGUAGCGGUGAAAUGCGCAGAUAUCGGGGAAGAACACCCGUGGCGAAGGCGGCUCUCUGGGACGGUACUGACGCUGAGACGCGAAAAGCGUGGGGAGCGAACAGG